UUCUCCACACAGGACACGAACACCCGCAGGGCAUUGUCGGGAGCCGUCUUUAGGCCAGCGUGCCCCGCCGCAGGGACACGGGAAGCCAACCGCCCUUCCGUCCCCGACGCCGGCCAGGCGCGGAGCGGCGAGCCUCCCCCUCCCCCUCCCCGCCGCGCGGGCCGUCUCCACUGCGGGCGCUCCGACGCGGCUGUUCCCCGCGCGGGCCGUCUCCACUGCGGGCGCUCCGACGCGGCUGUUCCCCGCGCGGGGCAGCAGGGGGCGCCGGCAGGCACCCGACGCCUGCGCAGAGGCUGGCUUAGAGGAGCCUCCAGGGUCUGCAGUCAAGACCUCGCCCACUCGGGGAGGACUGUUCCUUUCCUGUAGGCAGGCGGUGCUCGCCCUCGCGUCCCCAGCACUGCGCACGCGCCAGCGCAGGGGCGCCCUCUGUCCCGCCGGGGAACUCGCGUCUUCCCGCCCCAGGGCUUCCGCAGUGCCUGGGGCAGAGAAGGUGCGAUCAAACGGCCCAGGACUCAGACACCCAGAGUGAAGGGUCCGGAGGAGCAGAGUUAUGGAGUGGGACUGGGAUGUGCUGGGGACCGCGCUGAAGUGCCCUGAGGUUCCGGCUUAAACCGAGUUCCCAGCGCCGCCCCGCCCCCAGCCAGCUUGCCCGACGGGUGCGCGCCACCCCGGUCUGGACUGCAACUGGGUGAAUGCCCACGGCUGGGGUUUCCUUUAAUCUUCCUUCUUGCCAUGUUUUCCCUACCGUCAGAGGAACCUCCCGUUGCUACUGCUUUCUCUGGAGAAAAUGUCUUAUUAAUUUUGGACAUAUUUUGCCAAGAAUAGAAUUUCUACUUGAAGUAUUUUUAUUUUUGUGACUGUUAGUCCAGAAGCACAAAGUCUCAAAAAUUUAAGUUUUUAAUAUUCAUACCCUAAUUCAAGCAUGAGCAAACCACUUACACAAGCCUUUAACAAGGGCUGUUUAAGAAAGGCUAGGCUUCUAUUUCAUCCCCCCGUACUUUUCAUUGCGAUAACACGUUUUCUUUGUUUCAGAGGCAACGCGAACUCUCGCACCAAAUAAUGUAUAUUACAAAAGGUGCAGCUAAGCCUGAGAAUACUUUUUCAGAAAAUACAGGGCUCAGUGUCUACUUUGCUCUCUGGCUUUGUUCAUACAGUAGCUGGAUACACAGCUUUGUGUCAAGGGAUAGAGCCCCCUUUUGAAGAGCAUCCUUUUACUCAAGCUAAAUGACAGACACAUUUGGAUAGUUUCAGAAGCAAUAAAAUCAGGUUAAGAAGAGGGAAGCCAGGUUGCGUAUGACAACUCAGCCACAUAUUAACAGGGACUAUAUUAAACAUUGGCACAUGUUGACAUACAGAAAUAUCCCUGUGGAUUUAAGAAUGUGUUUGCUUUCAUCUUACGUCAUUGUGAAAUGGUAGGGGUGCGAGUGUCAGGUAGGGUGGUGCUGCCUGCGUGGCUGCAGACCUCCUGGAGGCUGCAGAACCCGAAGGGGAACGGGGGCGAGGUCCGCUCUGUGGACAGGAGCCUGGUGUCUGGGGCGCCUUAGGCCAUCUGAGCGAGGAAUGAAAUUACUCUUAUCAAGAAUGCUAGGAUCCACGCUUUGUGCUGAGUAGUAUGUCCUGUGACUCCGCCCAGUGAGGCAUAGGGAGCGUCAUCAGUGUUACAGUUGAGCAAACUGAAGCUCAGACAGUUUGAGCGGCGUGUCCAGCUAGUAGCAGCGGCAGGAGUCCGACUCGGCCUCCCCGGCCAGCGCACGGGCCUCGCCCAGGCAGAUGAACACGGCGACGCGCUCAGCGUCCCGGAAAAGCCAGGCGGACAGGAGUUUAAGGACCUUGGCGAAAUGUUGCCCCUGUGUUCAUCCUUCUGCAACUUGGCUCCUCUGUUGACUUUUCAGUAUUUGGUACAAGUAGGUCAUUUAAGACAAUAUUAAGGCACCUGAUUAGGAAAGCAUUCCUAGCUGAACAGUAGAAACUUUGAACUCAGCCUCUUCUUGCUGAUAACCUUCUCUUUCAAUAGUUCUUUCUCAGCGUUCCUUAGGCAGAGAUACUGGGUAGAUAGAAAUCAUCUUUGGGUACGUGGCAGGUGUCACAAGGCACAAGUCCACCCGGGGUCUUUCGGUACAACCGAGGCAGAGCAGAGAGCAGGAAGCAAGUCAUCAUGGAACUGCAGCCUCCACACUGGAGGGGCGAGAGGCCGGCUGAGAAGAGGGGCCGGGCAGGUCACGCCGUGCCGGGCAGAUGCAUCCCUUUGACGGGAGAGAGCUGACCAUAGUUGGGCACUCCGAGAGCCAAACAGGAAAUCUGAGUGGCAGCGGACUCAGUAGGCGAUUACUAAGCUCUGCUUGAUUUGAAUAUCAAAUAUUUUUAGCUCUUAAAGUGGGAUCUGGCACCUGAACCCACUGAUCAUACGUGAAUCCCUCAGGACACGAUGCAGCGGCCAGUAGACAGCACCGUGUGGAAACGUCACCACGGGAAGAAAGGAACCCCCGUCUGAUGAAGCCUCUAGGUUUAGCCGCAGGAUGUGGGGAAGGGGAACACACUGACACCUGGAGGAGGCGGUCAGCCCAUGUUGGGCCGUGGGAGACUCCACAUGGCGAGGACUCGGUUUCGCUGUCUUCGCCAUGGCAACAGACGUGCCCCACGAUGGCGACAGUGGGGCGAGGUUAGCGAAUGGAACUGCUGCGUGUGCUCGCCUCACUUCUUGCUUCCUCACUCAGACCAGGAGGCAGGGCCAAGCCGGCGCUCUGUGGGGAGCUGGGCCUUUUGCUGGGGCUCCCGCCCCUCCCGGGACGAGCCGUGCGAGGCUCCGCCAGCCCCAGCCCCGAGGCCGGGACAGCUCUUCGGAGUCCCCCUCACGCAGCUCUGUCGGGACGGCGGCCUGCCCGGCACUCUGCUGGUAGGUGUCUUUGGGUGGUGCGAGCCCUUUGGGGGAGAACUCUGGGGGCCAAGUGCCCUCAUCCCAAUCUGCCUCCGAAUGGAGCGAUCACGAGACAGCCGCUAGCUCUGGCUGGGAGGUUGGCCGAUGUUACUUCAAGGAGUACGAAUCGGAGUCAGGCAUUGAAGGACGAGGCGAACACAGCAGGAAGGAUGGUCUUUGACCGGCUUCAGAAGGACCAGGUGUCCUGGCUGAGACGCGUCACAGGGGGCUCUGUGUGUGUGACGUCCCCGAGUCCAGCUGCCUCCCGGGCCCCUUCCAGCUUCUGCCUUGACCCCUCACUGGGCUCAAGUCUCCCUUAAUUAUAUCUUCAUCGGAGGCCGCUCAGUCUCACAACUCAAAAUAUCUCCUGUGGUUUUGAUUUGUGUUCCAAGGAUUUAAACAAAAAGUUUCCUCCCUGGGCAGGUAUGAAUCUGUGAAUCCUAACAGAACCUUUCAGAUCAAAGCCGCAGAGUUGGGCUGUGUUAUUUCGAAUGAGCGUAUGCAGUUGUCAGUGGUAGCACUGGCUGAGCGUCCAGUGCCUGUCCAAGCACUGCACUGGGUGUCGGGAAUUUUAGGCGAGGUGUGAAAAAUCGUAUCAUUUUGGGUCCAUGCUCAAUACCACCCGAGACCUUGCACCUUUCACGGCCAGUAAAUAGCUGUGACUGUCAUCGCCACUUCACACAGGAAAUAAAGCCCCUAGAAGAGUGUCCUAUGUCCAAGUCAUCCAGCAAAUAGGUGGCAUCAUGGGUCAUAAAUCCCUCCAGUCCCCUGCCUGUGAUGCCUGUUCUCUGUCUACACUGCAAGCAAAGGACGUGAAGACGGAGCAGAGAGGAGUGGGAGCAGGCAAGGCGAGAACGUGGUCACAGAAGCUUCCUGGUGGGGGCGGCAGGUCUUCAGCCUGAUUUGCAAAGAGCCUGGGAAGUGCAGGAAGGAGGGACGGGGCAUGCAGUCACCUGGCGGGGAAUAAGCAGGUGGGACCCAGUGUGGCAGGAAGGGUUCCCUGCUUGGGGAGGAACGCCUGCCCCUGUGAGGACACAGCCAGAAAAGGAUGGUGGAGGGAGAGGGCGAUUGAGCAGAGGUCUUGAAGCAGCGUUGAGUCACUGAAAAGAAACAUCUGAUGAGAAAUGUCUCAGUGCUUUUGGCUACAGAGUGGAUCGAUGGGUAGAAAAUGUAGAGAUGCCAAAACACACAACAAAAUCCAAAAUGUGCUUCGUCCCUUCAGCCUGGGCCCUGUGCUCUCGGCCUUGCACGGCGCAGCCCUGUCCUCGCGCCCUGGCUCGGGAGUGUCAAAUGCCCAGCACUUUUCCUUCCAUUUCUUCCCGCAGGACUUGCUUUCCUUUGUGAACCAGAAAGGGCCGCCCGUGAAGGGCAUCUUCAGAAUCUCGCCCAACACAAAAUCCUGUGGAGCCCUGAAGAGGAAACUGGACUCUGGAGACAGAGUGGACUGGGACAGCGAGUCCGUCGCGUGGUGGCCUCUGUCUUAAAGCCUUUUAGGCCAGCUGCCAAAAGAGAACGUUGUCCUUUUGCGACACCUUUUUGGAGUGUUGCACAAUGUAGAGAAACACUCCUCCUCGAAUCUCAUGACGGCGUGCGAUCUCGCAGUCUGUGUGGCGCCCAAGUCCUGUGGCCACCGACCCCUGCGGCUCAGAGUCCCUGGAAGCGCUCGCCAGAAAGGUACUGGGGCCUCUCGCUCAUGCCCGGGACAGAGCCCCCGCUUUGGACCUGAAAUUCAGGAGAGUAACUCUGACAGACUUUGGCGUUUGUUUUACAAAGUGCACACUUUAGUCACACUCCUUUGGAGCGACAGAGUCGUUUAUGCUUUUCUUGGGGUGGGGGUGGCAGGGGGGGUGGGUCAGCGGGAGAUUACGAGCAGCGAGUCACCUGUUCCUUCCCAUCCGGGAGACAGAGCUCUAGGUUGACUGAACCACAGAGACAAGACAUGGGUGUGAUGUGACAGAAAGGAAACUGGGGCUUUGGAAUUCGACAAACCAAGGAUCAGCUCUGAGUCUCAGCACUGAGGGUGUGGAACCGCGGACAGAGACUCCGAGCCACGGUUCCCUCCUCUAAACGGUGUUGGUCACACCCAGCUCGUCUGGUCAGGACUGACACUGCCCAGAGGGUCUGGGUGACAGGAGCACCCGUGGCUCCACACGUCAUUGUCCCCUGUCCGUUGUGGCUCACGGUCGACAUGCAGAGCAAUACGGGGCUGCUGUGUUGUCUCUGCUGCUGCAGUGAGAAAACUAGGAGAAGAUUCCAGAACAUCCUCGUGGAGCCGCAGUGUGCAUAGACAGGAUGGCAGCUCCUCCCCAAGCUCCCCCAGAGAGCGUCCUGAGGCAGGCGGUGCCUGGGCAGGGACCCCCGCUCGACACGAAGACGCUCCCUCUGUGGCUGCCCCCUCCUCCGCAUGUGAGCACAGAGCAGCUCUGCCGCCACGCUCUACGUGAGCGCUCUACGUUAAGCUCCACUUCAGAAGGGAACGUCCCAAGUUUCCGUCCACGUGGUUGCUUUCUACAUUUUAGUUAGAGAGUAUCUAGCUUCCUCCCACAUAUCCUAUGUGAGUUACUUGAAAAUUCUCCCGCUUUUAAAGAUGUGGCCAUUGAUAUGAAAAUGUUAGCUCUUAAGCUAGACCACAAGUUAUAACUUUAGUCCACUGACAAGUAUUUUAAGACCUGUGCCCUAAAUGCUCAUUCGAAUAUUAUAGUCGUUUCUGUGAGAAAACAAAUUCAGAUGUUUAUAAAUCAACUCAGAGUUUUUCUCAGAAUUCUGAAUUUCAUGUUUUGUGUAAGCUCCAAGAUUUGUCUAUGAAAUGUGAUUUAUAAAUAUGCCGAAUGAAAAGAGCACCCUGUGUCUGCCCUUUUCUGUUGCAGGUUUCUCUUGCUCAAUUUCUGAUUCCUCCAGAUAUUUGGGGAGGACAUUGCGUGCCUCUUGGGGAGCAGCCCAGUGAGCUGUGAUGACAGUGAGAUGAUUCAGCAGUGAAAGCAGAGCAACCUCUGCAAGGCUUGGAGACAGCAGGAGCCACCGUGAUGGAGGAAGAUGCACAAGGGCUCGAUGAGGCCGAGGCCCCUCCCGGCGUGGACACUCCCAGUUGCUCGUCCCCCGUUCUCUGAGUUACUGAAGAUUAGAAUCUUCAUAAACACAUUCAAUCCUCCUUUGCCUUUAUUUCCUAUAGUAGCCCACUGAGAACUAUUUUUCUAACAUGUUUGCAGGAUUUUGCUGAAUUUGGAUUAAAUUCUAGGUUUUGUCCAGAAACAAGUGAAUUUCUUAGUAUAAAAAUGAGCAUGGGGCCAGGCGCGGUGGCUCAUGCUUGUAAUCCUAGCUCUCUGGGAGGCCGAGGCGGGCGGA